rnacentral:rRNA from 1 species
CCUACGGGAGGCAGCAGUGGGGAAUAUUGGACAAUGGGCGCUAGCCUGAACCAGCCACGUAGCGUGAAGGAUGACUGCCCUAUGGGUUGUAAACUUCUUUUAUAUGGGAGUAAAGUGCAGUAUGUAUACUGCUUUGCAUGUACCUUAUGAAUAAGGAUCGGCUAACUCCGUGCCAGCAGCCUCGGUAAUACGGAGGAUCCGAGCGUUAUCCGGAUUUAUUGGGUUUAACGGGAGCGUAGGCGGGUUGUUAAGUCAGUUGUGAAAGUUUGCGGCUUAACCGUAAAAUUGCAGUUGAUACUGGCAUCCUUGAGUACAGUAGAGGUAGGCGGAAUUCGUGGUGUAGCGGUGAAAUGCGUAGAUAUCACGAAGAACUCCGAUGGCGAAGGCAGCCUGCUGGACUGUAACUGACGCUGAUGCUCGAAAGUGUGGGUAGCAAACAGGAUUAGAUACCCCAGUAGUC